rnacentral:rRNA from 1 species
AUUGAACGCUGGCGGCAGGCUUAACACAUGCAAGUCGAGCGAGCGGCGGACGGGUGAGUAACGUCUGGGAAACUGCCUGAUGGAGGGGGAUAACUACUGGAAACGGUAGCUAAUACCGCAUACCAUCAGAUGUUCCCCGAUGGGAUUAGCUAGUAGGUGGGGUAAUGGCUCACCUGGGAGACGAUCCCUAGUUGGUCUGAGAGGAUGACCAGCCAGACUGGAACUGAGCCACGGUCCAGACGCCUACGGGAGGCAGCAGUGGGGGAGAUUGCACAAUUGGCGCAAGCCUGAUUCAGCCAUGCCGCGUGUGUGAAGAAGGCCUUCGGGUUGUAAAGCACUUUCAGCGAGGAGGCGGUACUCGCAGAAGAAGCACCGGCUAACUCCGUGCCAGCCGCCGCGGUAAUUC